UACAGAGGUCUCAAGCGUUGUUCGGAAUCACUGGGCGUAAAGGGUGCGUAGGCCGCACGGUAAGUCAGAUGUGAAAGCCCGGAGCUCAACUCCGGAACUGCAUCCGAUACUGCCGUGCUUGAGGACUGGAGAGGAGUCUGGAAUUCACAGUGGAGCAGUGAAAUGCGUAGAUAUUGGGAGGAACACUAGUGGCGAAGGCGAGACUCUGGACAGUUCCUGACGCUGAGGCACGAAGGCCAGGGGAGCAAACGGG
rnacentral:rRNA from 1 species